UGCACAGGAGCUGAAGCAGGAUGCAGCCUGUUGCUUUUACAGUAUAAUACUUGUAAUAAAAGUACAGUAACAGUAAUUAGUGACUGAGCAGCCCGGAGCGUUUCUCUUGAUUUCUUUAGUCAGGGUAAAUUCAUUCACCUGCACAGGUUAGCUAAACGAACCCUGACAGCCGAGUGCUCAUCUUAGCUAGCUAGGUCUCAGGACCGAGCUAAGGACGGUAGUUACGGAGUAGCUUACAAACACGUUUAACUUACCGAAAAAGUGCAGCGGGGCCUCGGGUCCUUCUGUCGGGUAGUCCAGUUUACUGAAGAACACCUCAGGCUGUCAGGUUAAAACACUCGGUCGUGUCUUCGUAGCGUAAACGCUGGCCCUCCUCUCAGAGCCUACGCUCUAUCUGCUAUUCCCGAACAGAGAUACGCAAGUUUCUCCGUGACUGCAGCUGCCAGUCAAAGCUGCUAUGAUGACGUUUCACCCCAAUUUAACAUCACCGCGGUAGGAAUUAGAAUCAAACUUAUGGGAGAGGAGACCCCUUGGACAUCAAUCAGCAUGAUGAGAACUAUUGAUAACAAAAGAAAGAA